rnacentral:tRNA from 1 species
CGUUCUGUAGCUUAGUUGCUUAAAGCGAUGGUCUAGCGAAGGAGUCGUGGGUUUAAAUCCUAUCAGAACGU